GCUUUUCUUGAGAGCGGCGGACGGGUGAGUAAUGCCUAGGAAUCUGCCUGGUAGUGGGGGAUAACGUCCGGAAACGGACGCUAAUACCGCAUACGUCCUACGGGAGAAAGCAGGGGACCUUCGGGCCUUGCGCUAUCAGAUGAGCCUAGGUCGGAUUAGCUAGUUGGUGAGGUAAUGGCUCACCAAGGCGACGAUCCGUAACUGGUCUGAGAGGAUGAUCAGUCACACUGGAACUGAGACACGGUCCAGACUCCUACGGGAGGCAGCAGUGGGGAAUAUUGGACAAUGGGCGAAAGCCUGAUCCAGCCAUGCCGCGUGUGUGAAGAAGGUCUUCGGAUUGUAAAGCACUUUAAGUUGGGAGGAAGGGUUGUAGAUUAAUACUCUGCAAUUUUGACGUUACCGACAGAAUAAGCACCGGCUAACUCUGUGCCAGCAGCCGCGGUAAUACAGAGGGUGCAAGCGUUAAUCGGAAUUACUGGGCGUAAAGCGCGCGUAGGUGGUUUGUUAAGUUGGAUGUGAAAGCCCCGGGCUCAACCUGGGAACUGCAUUCAAAACUGACAAGCUAGAGUAUGGUAGAGGGUGGUGGAAUUUCCUGUGUAGCGGUGAAAUGCGUAGAUAUAGGAAGGAACACCAGUGGCGAAGGCGACCACCUGGACUGAUACUGACACUGAGGUGCGAAAGCGUGGGGAGCAAACAGGAUUAGAUACCCUGGUAGUCCACGCCGUAAACGAUGUCAACUAGCCGUUGGGGACCUUGAGUCUUUAGUGGCGCAGCUAACG
rnacentral:rRNA from 1 species